CCUGCAGCAUAGCCAUUGCAAACUAGCACUGACAUGGAAAAUCAAUCACAGUACCAGCAGCUUCUUCUUCUUCCCCAAAACCCUAACCACAACACUCUCCUGCAAAGCCGGACCAUUCCCUUUUUCUCUUCGCUCUGCCCUACGCUUUCCAUCACCAUUACAACCAGAUGUAGCCCCAGAUAUCAGUUCCACAAAACACACUACCCUCCUUGUUGAGACCUUCCAUGAGCACCAGAGGCUCAAAGCCUUACUUCGGUAGCUCAUCAUGGUUCUUGCCCUCUGCAAUUGCUUGGAGAA
rnacentral:lncRNA from 1 species